GUAUUUGUUUCGAAAUUAAGUUUAAGAUCAAGUGUAGUAUCCGUUUCUUAUUAGUUUAAUAUCUGAUACGUCCAUAUGACCAUAUAUUAAAUAAAUUUUUUGAACAGCGAGAUGGAAUAGGGGCUUGCUCCGUCCACUCCACGCAUCGACCCGGUAUUGCAGUGUUUUCGGGAACGGUGCACCCCCU